ensembl:lncRNA
GGAUCCGCGAGCGUUCCGGAGCCGGGGCGAGCAGCCAAAAGGCCCGCGGAGCCGCGCUGGGCCGCCCCGGUGCAGCUGAACCGGGGGCCGCGCCUGCCAGGCCGACGGCUCUGGCCCAGCCUGGCGCCAAGGGUUCCUGUGCGCUGUGGAGACGCGGAGGGUCGAGGCGGCGCGGCCUGAGUGAAACCCAAUGGAAAAAGCAUGACAUUUAGAAGCAGAAGACUUAGCUUCAAAUCCCUACUCCUUCACUUAGUGAUUUUGUGAUUUGGAAAUAUCCGCACAAGAUGUUGACGUUGCAGACUUGGGUAGUGCAAGCCUUGUUUAUUUUUCUCACCACUGAAUCAAUAGGUAAGGUUCAUGAAAUACCCUAUCUUCUAACUUCACAAAUUAGGUAUAUAUAUUUUUAUAUUAUUAUAUAAUUAAGCUUAUGUUUAAUUAUUAUGUUCAUAUAUUCUAGGAUAAUUGAGAGAAUAAUAUCUUAAAUUGAUUUUAAUAAAAAUAUUCUCAAUAAUGUUUUUGUAUAAUUUGAGUUGUUAACAGUCAUUCAGUAAUCUUAAAUGCUGUGUAUCAAUACUAAUAACUUUAAAAUGGGGAAGGAAAAAAGUGUGUGGGUUGUUCUGUUUUUCAGUAAACAGGAGAAAAUUAGUUAAAUCUUAUUAAAUUUUACAUCAUUCAUACUACAUGCUCUUUAAGUAUUGAAGGGCUGCUUUCUUGUGUCUCUUAAGUCCUCGUCCCCAAACUACAGUUACCCAGAUAUCCAGUCAUUCUAUAGGAUCUGGCUUUUAACCCUGUGCAUGCUGAUUACCCUACUGAUUCUUCACUUAGUUGCCUGUAUUACAUUUAAAAUAGAAUACUGGCUGGGCAUGGUGGCUUACACCUGUAAUCCCAGAACUUAGGGAGGCAUAGGCAGGAAAAUAACUUGAGUCCAGGAAUUCAAGACCGGCUUGGGCAACAAAGCAAGGCCCCAUCUCUUUUUUUUUUUUUAAAUUAGCCAAGUGUUAGUCCAUUUUCAAACUGCUAUAAAGAAAGACCUGAGACUGGGUAAUUUAUAAAGAAAAGGUUUAAUUGACUCACAGUUCUGCAGGCUGUACAGGAAGCAUGGUGGCAUCUGCUUCUGGGAGGCUUUGGGAAGUAGCCAAUCAUGGCAGAAGGCAAAGGGGUAGUGAGGCAUCUCACAUGGUGAGAACAGGAGGAAGAGAGAGAGAAAGGGAAGGUGCUACACACUUUUAAAUGACCAGAGCUCACAAGAACUCAUUCCUCAUCCACAAUCUCGAGGCAGUAUCAAGUGAGAAAUCCACCCCUAUGAUUUAAUCACCUCUCCACCAGGCCCCACCUCCAACGCUGGGAAUUAUGAUAUGACAUGAGAUUUGGGUGGGGGCACAGAUUCAAACCAUGUCACGCCUCUAGUCCCAACUACUCUGGAGGCUGAGCCAGGAGAAUCAUGAGCCCUGGACCUCGAGGUCACAGUGAGCCAUGGUCAUGCCAUUGCACUCUAUCCUGGGUAACAGAGCAAGACCCUGUCUCGUGAAAAAUACUUACCUGUACGUGUGUGUGUGUGUGUGUGUAUAAAUAAUACUAUUCCAGCUCUCCCCCUUACUAGCUAUAGGACCUUGGUCAGUCAUUUUCUGUGCCUCAAUUUCCUGAUCUAUGAAAUGGUGAUAAUAAUGGUCACUACCUCCUAGGAUUAUUAGUGAGGGUUCAAGAAGUUAAUAUAGAGGCCAGGCAUGGUGGCUCAUGCCAGUAAUCCAAGCACUUUGGGAGGCCGAGUUGGGUGGAUCAUUUGAGGUUAGGAGUUCAAGACUAGCCUUGCCAACACGGUGAAACCCCAUAUCUACGCAAAAGCACCAAAAAUUAGCCAUACGUGGCACACGCCUGUAAUCCCAGAUACUCAGGAGGCUGAAACAGGAGAAUCGCUUGAGCCUGGGAGGUGGAGGUUGCCGUGAGCCAAGAUCGCACCACUGCACUCCAGUCUGGGUGACAGUGAAACCCUG